CUGGCAGUGCGUCUUAAGCAUGCAAGUCAAACGGGAUGUAGCAAUACAUUCAGUGGCGAACGGGUGAGUAACGCGUGGAUGAUCUACCUAUGAGAUGGGGAUAACUAUUAGAAAUAGUAGCUAAUACCGAAUAAGGUCAGUUAAUUUGUUAAUUGAUGAAAGGAAGCCUUUAAAGCUUCGCUUGUAGAUGAGUCUGCGUCUUAUUAGCUAGUUGGUAGGGUAAAUGCCUACCAAGGCAAUGAUAAGUAACCGGCCUGAGAGGGUGAACGGUCACACUGGAACUGAGAUACGGUCCAGACUCCUACGGGAGGCAGCAGCUAAGAAUCUUCCGCAAUGGGCGAAAGCCUGACGGAGCGACACUGCGUGAAUGAAGAAGGUCGAAAGAUUGUAAAAUUCUUUUAUAAAUGAGGAAUAAGCUUUGUAGGAAAUGACAAAGUGAUGACGUUAAUUUAUGAAUAAGCCCCG
rnacentral:rRNA from 1 species